rnacentral:rRNA from 1 species
CUGCCAAGGGCAUGGCUGGUUGGCUACGUUCGGGAGGGAUAACCGCUGAAAGCAUCUAAGCGGGAAGCCUGCUUCGAGAUGAGGACUCCCACCCACUUGAUGGGGUAAGGCUCCCAGUAGACGACUGGGUUGAUAGGCCGGAUCUGGAAGCCAGGUAACUGGUGGAGGUGACCGGUACUAAUAGGCCGAGGGCUUGUCCUCAGUUG